UGCCCCCACCCCUCCCUCCCAGUAUGUUUUUGGUGCAAUAGUCAAAGCCUAAUUCAUUAGUAACAGAAAAUAAGGAGAAAUAGUUGUACAUUAGAGCUGACAGUGUCUUAGGAAAAAAUACUAGGCUUUGUUACAGAGAAAUCAGGCUGAAAGUUGCCAGCUGGAGGGAUCAGUGAAUAUGAACCGACAGCCCCUUAUAAGCCUUACUGGAAGCAAAGAGAGCCCAGGGAUGAAAAGAACACUCUUCAAACAUGUGGAACAGCCUUUGGAAGAAAAGUGGGAAGCAAAUCAAUCAGAACAACUUUGGGGAAUUGUGGGCUUAAUAGAAAUACUGAGGAAGCAGAAUGAGGAACGUACAGGGGGAAAUUCUGCUUUAGUGAAAGUGGAAAAGAACAGCACUGGAGCUGCAGGAGUGGCUGCUCUCUCUGUGUGCAUCUUAGCCAGAGCUACAAUGCCUUGGCUGUCUGGAACACCUCUUCCUGCAUGCUGCAAGUGGAAAUUUUGGGAGUUUUUAAAGACCAGACCUGCAGAGGUGGCAGAGCCCACUGGAAAUGAUGUCAACUGCUGCCAGCUCGUCUUCUCCUUUCCAUGAUCCUACAUGCAUCAUCACUGAGGUGCGAAGAGUUCAGGUGCUGCAAUGAAGGUGAAGGAUGGAAAGGCAUGUGGAGCAGCUGAGCGUGUCUCAGGGAAUUCAGGACAAUUUUUAGAUCAUCUUUACUCUGACAUCCAUUUUUGCUCUUAUUUUUGAAACCUUAUUUCACAAACCGUCAUGUUUUUGGCUGGAAUAUAUUAAUGAGAAAAUUACUCAAAAUCAUUGGUGUCUUAAGAAGUUUCAAGGUGUAGAUGGCCAUGUAUGGUAGCUUCAAAACUACUCAUGAUCUUGGUAAAGCAGCACAAUCACCAUAAAAAAUAACAAGAAAAACCUGGCCACCCUUUCAGAUGCAGCACAUGGGACCACUAAAUGGCUUUGUUUUUAUAAUUACCUUUUCACAAGCACAAUAUCACAGAAAACAUUAUUAAUUGAUAAUAAGUUCUCAAUUAUG
rnacentral:lncRNA from 1 species